rnacentral:antisense_RNA from 1 species
AGUGGAGGUUGGAUUCAGAGGACAUGGGGAUCAGUGUGGGCUGUGCUGGUCAAGGAGGGCUUCCAGGGAGAGGCAACUGAGGAUUCACUGCAAUUGUUCCUUGAGAAGAUGAGGAUCAGGUCGGGAAUUGGAAACAUCUGAGGGCUCAAUUCAACCUGGCUUCUAAAACGAACAUGGUGAACAUAGAUCAACUACUGAAGUUCUUUUAACCUCUGGCAUCCUAUCUGUGAAUUGUGGGGAGGAAACAGGGUCCACCCACUGCUGCACAAGAGGGGUGUGUGCAGACCAUCACCUUGUGUCUGCUGUAGCAGGAGACCCCUGGCCAUGCGGGACUGAACCCAUGAUUGCAGCUGAUCUUACUCUGUCUCUUCUCUGUGUGAGUAAAGUGUUGUUCCAUCU